rnacentral:lncRNA from 1 species
AUGCCUUCUUCUCCAAGAAGGUAAAGUGCCCAAACGAGAAGUCAAUGAGAUAUGUCCCCUGCAAGAUUAGUCAGUCAAAUGCCGAGGAUCCCUCCAAAGGGUCAGUGACACCUGAGAUCGCCCCAGCACCAUCACCUUCUUAUGCGGCACUCAAUAGGAACCGAUAGCAAGUAAAGUUAUUAGACAGGGCUAAAGCAAUUGUCAUGUGGUUUCUGCCAGAAAAAUAAUGGGGCACAGCAGCUUUCUGUACUUAGUUUUUUUAAUAUUUGCAUCAUGCAUUGUAACUUCAAGCAUGUAAGUUUCUCGUGAAUUUUAAGUAUCAUUUGAGUAUAGUAAAUUAAUGCAGUUGAAGUUGUCCAUUUGCAUAGAGUCGAGUAAACUUUUGUAGAUCUAUUAACUUGACUAUCGAGAGACCUGAAAAGAUAAUAUAAUCAAACAAAAGAAAAACGAAACCUCUCUGUUAUCAAACAAGAGAGUGAAUAGAAAUGGGGAGGACCUUUGUCUAGAAGGACCCUUUGUCUAUUAGUACAGUAGCCACAUGGUCAAGUAAAUCAUAAUACACUACAAAUUCAAGAUCCUGCAAGUGAAAAUCCAAUAGCCUAAAGAAUAAAAACAGGAUAAAUGUAGCACCCACAGUCGACCCUGUUAUUAAGGACUUCAGAAGAAAUACAUGCAACUAUUAUUCCAUGACUUUACAAAUUCAGUAUCCACAGCAUAGAGUACAACAUUAAGCAAUCAAAUGCAAAAUACAUCAUUUAUAUCAAGCUUAAACUGACAAUGGAAGAGAUGGGAUUUUGUAUUUCACUCCACAAAAUUUGUUUGGACUUUGCUAACUAAAUGCUCUCCAUAGCAUGCUCUUCCAAACUUCCUGGUUCCACCGGUUCUCCCCACACCCACACAGACAUCUAAAGGCUCCACCGGGACAUUGAAAUUGGGCUGUUUGUAAAACAUUAAUUAGUGUUCAGAAAAGAACUGGAUUCAACAAAAAGAAAUGCACAAAGGAGAUUCCAGUCAAGAAAUUAACCUCAUAAAAGUAUGCUACACAGACUCGAUGUCUUGAGCAACUAUUAAUUACGCGAUGCAACGUUGAGUCAUAUAAGCCAUUGGACCAAAUCUGCAGUUGUCCAGACCAAAAAUUGAUUUGCCAAUCCAGCACAAAGUCAGAAAUGAACAUCAAGGAGUCUUCUUCUCCAAGUUUAUACCUUAAGCAUGUCGCCUAUGUUGCAAACAAAUGUUCCUGGAAUAGGAACAGCAGAGAUCCACUCACCAGAGAGGUUCUUGACCUUCAAAAACUCACCCAGAUCAAAAUGAACGUAAUAGAGGAGCUAUGAAGUUUUGAUAACCGAAAUGCGUGGCAGGUUUUCACUGAAUAAGGUAUAAUACUGAUUGUAAUUUAUUACAGAAUGUGAUCUGAUACCAUUCAAGAUUUAAACCUUCUCACUCAUUCUGCAUGAUCUAACACCAAUAGAAUGAGAUGACAAUAACAACAACAAACUAAGCAGAGGAUCAAUCAGAAUGAGUAACAUGAGAAAUUUAUAUUGCAGAGGCAACCUAUGGGAUGGCAAAAAUUAGGAGCUGUAUUUAUGACCAUGGUUGUGCAGCUGCUCUGAACAUUAAAGAAACUACUUAACAAUCAGGAUAGAUAGACCCAAACAUAUUCUGAUGAUCAAAUCUAAAUCCAUUUUCGUCAAUGUCAAUCAUCUAUUGAGAGCCUCCUUGGUUUGGUCUAAAGAGGAUAUUCCAAAUUCCACUUGGCCAUUAUUAAAUUGACUGCAAUCUUUGUCUUGGUGGGAACUAGCAUGGCAUCUAAUUUUCCUUUAAUCCAAACCAAACAACUAACUGUUGUAUUUACUGCCAAAUUCGAUAUAUUAUAAAUGUUGUGAAAAACAUUAUGGUGACUUGAGAUGUUACUUAUACGUUCUAAAGAGUGAAGUGUUCCAUAAUGAAAAGCUAAUAUCAAUUUCUAAAAGUCAAAAGGAGAAGAAUAACAAAAGUUAAAAGCAAAGCCACACCAAACAUACACUGCCAUUUGGAAUGACCAACAGCCUGGACUAGAAAACGUACUCAUACAUGUCAUCUUGAAAUUCCAAGAACUGACUUCUCUAAGGAAUUAGCAGAACAAUUUGAAUCAAUUUAAUACUUAACUCAGUCUCACUUGUUCUGUAAUUACUCUUUAAUGAUUAAGAACUAAUUUAAAAUAUCAAAACUAAAACAUUAAAAGAAAUUGCAACUGUACCUGAAGAGCAGUGAUGUCAUCCUCCUGAUUCACCAGAGUCAACAAACCCGUAACAUAGCAUCAUAACUCAUUGUCCUUUAUUUCAAGUAUGAAAUCCUCUAAAGACUCAGAAAGUUACCAUAAUCAGUGUGCGCUCCGCUGUUUGCUUCAUGCACAACAAGAAAAGAAAAGAAAAACUGCAUGAGGGACUAAAGUAAUGAAGAAUUCUAGAGUACAAUCAUUGACAAUGAAUUAACUCGCGAUGAGAGGACAAAUGUAUUACCAUCCAAUGUCAUUUUCAGAACUUCCAAGGCCAUUUGCUUUUGAUGCACCUGGAUAACUGAUUAUACGCAAUACCCAAAAUGGAUCUCCAGCUCUUUGACCUUCAAAUUCAUUUGGGGAUCCGCCUAAUGCUAAUGCAAUACCUCAUGAUCUUUCUUGAAAGUUCUAGGAACAAUCAGAAUCAUGUGUACAAAAAUGAUGGAUAAGAAAAGUAUUGACAGAGAACCACUAAUCAAGAGUCCAUACCAGUGCAAAGGCUAACGUAUUCCUCCAUGAUUGGCUUUAAAUCUGAAGGAUUAACUGGCCUGCAUUGGGGACAAAAGAAAAAUGCGUUAACACAUUCCAGAAAAAAUCAGCAACACGUAACUCAAUCCAAAACAAGCUAUCAUAUACCUGAAUGUUGUUAGCAGUGUUAAGAGAUGUGCAAUGAAUUAAAUGAAAAGGCUGAGCUUAUGGAAGAAAUAAUAUCUAUAAUUUUCACGAAAGGACUCUAUCUCAAGUUUAGUUUGCUAAAUGGAUGAAUUCCAGACAUAUUUACUACUCAUAUGUGCAUUUAAUUGAACAAUCAUUAUAUUAACUAGUGCUGGAAGAAUGAGGAACGGCAAAGUGAUAGAUCAACAUGGGACCUAAGUUUAUACAUAAUGCCACUGCCCAAUUGCCACUGUCCAUUUGCUCAGCUCAGUUUGAUGACAUUGACAUAAUGAUGGACCUAAGGAAAACAAGCAUGACGAGUACUAAAGUUUCUUAUGAUUAAUACUUGCUACUGAUGACGAACAGUUAAAAGGAACGGUGCUCUUGUCAGGGUACAACCCUGAUCGUGCCCCCUGAUUGCUCCCCCGCAUGGCCACUAGACCAAAUGUCUAGUGACACGGUUAAAGGGGCUACAAAAUAAGAGACGUAGACAAUUAUCUUAGGUUAGAGUUCUUGAUUCAACAUACCACUGAUUACAUCCUUCCAUGACCUUGCCAAGUUCUCCAUACAUCCCUUGCCUCACUUCUCUGUAACACUGCUCCAAAUAUCACAUUUUAAGUCAUUGCAGUGGGAGGGAGAUAACAGCGUGGGAGACAGCAGCAGAAUACUAUGAUAACAUCUCAGUAUCAUCAUCCCAAUACCAGUGCAGGCUCCACAUUCAGUGAUAUGGAUCCCCACCUAAAGGACUAUAUAACUGCGCAAUUCAUAGUGGAAUAACAUUGACAUAAUUUGUAUGAGUUUCAUGCAGAGAAAUUCUGUUCGCUUGAAUUAAAGAUUGCCUAAGACUUUCACAGAUUGAACAGUGCUAAUCAAAACACUCCACUUCAAUGGAGCUAAACAAAUUAUCCAAGAGAAAAGGCAUCCCGGAAAACAUGAAUGCUUUUAAUGAUUAGAGAACCCUACCAUACAGGGACAAGUCAUAUGAUACCAGGGAACUGUUACUGUUCAAUCAACAUGAUAUAAUAAUCUUGUACUUAAGGCAAGUAUAUCUGAACAGCAACCAAAACAUUGGUGAAGCAACCUACGUCAAUGGCCCCAUGCAUUUCAGGUACACCUUUUGUGAUAUUUUCAUGAAGUCUCUGGUAUACCCUGCAAAAAAAUGUUAAAAGUCAUGUUUAAGCUAAUUAGCAAUUCACCUGGAAACUAGUAUAAACUUGCAAUAUUACAUGAUUAUAAUUUUCCUAGGAAUGAAAAAGCGGAAAAACCGUAGAAAUACGGGUAUAGGGAGGUGUAGUGACCAGAAUCAGAUCAUGAUGCUGGAUAGAGGUUUUGCAUGACCAUUUUUUUUUUCUGUAUACUGGCCAAGCUACUUUACCAUCAAUAUCAUAUGGGAAUGACAAUUGGUAGGUCAUUAGAUUCCUUGAAGCACCCUUUUUGGAAGCUUAUUUUGUUUUGCUAAUUAAGUAAGCUGUGUAUUCCUCACCACUCACAUGUGGGAGGCAAACGUUUGGGGAGCUUAUUUUCUAAAGCUUAACUAUAGGACAUGAUAUUCUUUCUGAUUUAUUUGAAUCAGUGUUUUCUCUGUAAUUUGAUCCUUCUGUUCAUGUUCUACAACAAGCCAAAAAUUAUUAACAGUUUAUGGACAUCUUGCUGCAUAGAAAAUUUAAGAUAAGAGAACACAGGUUGUGAUUCUAUUUGCUGCUUCCAUCCCAUGUUCUACAAUAAAGUAAAACUUAUUAACAAUUCAUGAGCAUUUAACUGCAUAUCAAAUCACAGAGAAGAGAACACAGCUAGUGAUUGAUCUAAAGUUGACAAUCGUCAAAAGGACAUUUCAAGAAUGCUAGGGGAGUCUAACCUGUAUCCUGCCACUGGAGUCAUGAUCGAUCUAAAGUUGACAAUUGUCAAAAGGACAUUUCAAGAAUGCUAGGGGAGUCUAACCUGUAUCCUGCCGCUGGAGUCAUCUUGAUCUUGAACUUCUCUUCAUAAGGAAGUUCAAAAACUUCGUGCGUCAAGAACCUUUUUAAUGAGGGAGUUGGGAAUACCAUGGCCCUUCUGGUCAAUGACAAAGUUUACACACUUCCACAUCACUGAAGAAUGAAUGAGGAAGCACACAAUAGUCCUGCUUUUCCCCCCCACUGAACUAAAAACAAGACAGUUUUUAACAGCAACAUGCUUUUUUAUGUAAUUUCUGCGAUUGCCAUGCCUAAAACUCCAUUUGAGUUUUAAGUUCCCAUUCCUCACUCUACAAACUCAAGUAAACUGACAAAAGAAGCUCCCGCAAUAAUAUUGUACUUAUUAUCAAUGAAAAGGCCUAAUUAAACAACCUUUCACCCUAAAAAACUCAACAUCUCAAGAAUGGUUCUAUCAGGAGACCGACCCACAAUGCACAUCAAACAUACUUCUUAAAAAAGACUAGAUGAACCAACAGAGGCAAGAGAUUCAAUACAGCUUAUACUGGGAACAUUAACAACUGAAUACGAAAACAAGUUCGGAUGCAACCACGUGUUCACGCAUUCGGCAAAACAAGAUAACAAGCACAUAUUCGCCGACCUUGAUGUUAUGGACGGCGACCACAUAAAUUUCUGCCAUCAAAUACAGAAUCCCACUGCAAAGCACUCCGAUUGAUUUGAAAACAGCUUAGUAAGCUCGCGCUUGCGUUUUCAGCAACUGGGUCGACGCUAAGCUACCCGAAGGAGCGAGCGGGGACAAAGUCACUGACCACGUCGAAGAAACCAGCCUCCCUACAAGCCUGAUCCAACUGCCUGACAACUUCAGCCACGCCCGGGUCUUCACCCAUGUCCGGAUCAUCGCACUUGGCCAUGAGGGGACCCAUAUCUGCAGAACAAGAUUGAAACGCACUGGAUUGAACGUCGGGUCGAUUAGGCCAGGUGCCCACAGAGGGCAUUGUUCCCUUGUUGUGGUGGGCGAGGGUCGGCCGACGGCCCUUGCCAACGCCUCAACCAAAGAGAGAGAGUAAGAACAAAAUAGAAAAUAAAAAAAAUGAAAAACAAAAAAAAAUUAUAAAAUAUUAUUAAAAAUGUUUACAUUAGCACCGAUUAUGUGAUAUGGAACAGUUUUAUGCAUUUAUGUUAGCAAUUUUCAAUCAAAAUUGGUGGAUGAAUUGAAUUGGGAUGAAAAUAAAAGAUGUAUAAAUAAAUUGAUCCAAUUAAAAGAUUUGAUACUAAAUUGAUACAAAGGUAAUAAUUUUAUGACUUUUUUUUUCUAUGGAUUACCACUACAAUGAGUAGGAGUUUAAUCUAACUAAUGACUCAACUUGUCAUCUAUGUUAUUCUUCCUCUCCAAAGAUUUCACGGGACAUUCCCUUAAGAGUGAUUGGUUUCCGGUCCGGUUUAGUUCUAUUCAAGAAUUGGUCACUUAUUUAAAAUGAAGAUGAAAUUAAGAAAGGAAGACGGUGAGAAUUCUUAGCUUUUCUCCGGUAAAAUAAAAAAGGUUCGACCAAUCAAUUAGAGAAAUCUUCCAUGCUUUUCUCUGGCAAAUUUCAGUCCGGUUCUCCUUUGAAAACGAGAACCAGACUACCCAAAUACCAGUUAUACUUUUAUAAAUCAGUAAUUAGACCUAACGGCCGGUUCGAUUUAGUUCGAGCGGUUCCCUAUCUAGUCAGUCCAUCUUGCUCACCCCUAAUUUUCUUGACAAAUUUCUCGCAAAUUCUGAUCACCAAUAGUGUAGGCAAAGCAAUACAAAUUUUGUAAAACAAGAAACGUGAGGAUUAAAACUCACUCAAUAUUACCUUUUGAGUCGGAUUAUAAGAACAAGAUCUGUGGCGAGCCUCCCCAACUGCAUUACGUGUAGUAUGUCGGACCUGAUGGGAAAGGCGAAUUCGCGGUCAAAACUCUCGUUCGGCAUUCUCCUAUCUUCUUCAGUCUGGAUAGUGUUUCCCCCUUCUCUCUCGAGAGAGAAACAGGUGGGAGCAUAGGACGUACUGAUAGCUUUCUUGCAGGGUUUUCAUAUGCGGAGAGACCCAGCAAAUGCAAUACUCCGAAGACUUUUCAACGACCCGACUCAACUACGUUCACUGACUGAGGCUUGUCUCUUUUCAUGCAGGAGCAGACCCACCAUGUCCUUGCUUCUCUUUUUGAGGCCUAGCUCUCCAUUCACGGGAUUCUACCAGGAGAAUGUCACCGCGACCUGGAAUGGCAAAGGAGUCAAGAUCUGCAAUUACACGGGCUUCACCUGUGCAACUGUACCCGGCUACGAGAUGUUGGGUCUCACCAGCGCGGACUUCCAUGGCUUCGGCUUCUGCAAUGACUAGGGACAGCUCACUAUCGAUAACUUCAUUGAGAAACUACCCGAUCUCGUAUUCUUUCAUGCAAACUCCAACGACAUUACCGGCCGCAUCCCCUCCAGUAUUUCCAUGCUCAAGUAUUUCUACGAGCUCGACUUGAGCAACAACAAGCUACAAGGAACAUUCCCAAUGACCGUUCUAGGCGUCACCGGGCUCACUUUCUUGGAUCUCAGGUUCAACAACCUAAUUGGACCGUUACCACCUCAAGUAUUCACUGUGGACCUCGAAGUUCUCUUUCUCAACAAGUAGUUCAAUGGGACAAUCCCGGAAAAUCUCGGUAAAACACCCGUAAGUUAUCUCACCCUAGCCAACAACAAGUUCACAGGCCCAAUCCCUCGGAGCAUAGGGCAAACUUCAAAGUCGUUGCUAGAGGUGCUGUUCCUGAAUAACCGAUUAUCGUGUUGCCUUCCAUAUGAGAUAGGACUCCUGAAGAAAACAGCUACUUUCGACGCCAGUAUCAAUCAGUUGACUGGUCCAAUACCACAUUCCUUCGGCUGUCUGCAGCAGAUGAAUCAGCUAAACUUGUCGUAUAACCAUUUAUACGGGCCAGUACCUGAGAUGGUGUGCGUGCUGCCGAAGCUGAGUGCACUAACACUGAACAACAAUUACUUCACACUGGUUGGGCCAGAAUGCCGGAAGUUGAUCUUGAAGAAAAAACUCGAUGUAAGGAUGAACUGCAUUUUAGGUCUUCCAUCACAGAGAUCUCCAAGAAGGUAAAGUGCCCAAACGAGAGAUCAAUGAGAUAUGUACCCUGCAGGAUUAGUCAGUUAAAUGCCGAAGAUGCCUCCAAAGGGUCAUUGACACCUGAGAUCUCAAUAGGCACCGAUAGCAAGUAAAAUUAUUAGAUAGGGCUAAAGCAAUUGUAAUGUGGCUUCUACCAGAAAAAUAAUGGGGCACAGCAGCUUUCUGAACAUGGUUUUUUUAUUUUUUUUAAUAUAUAUUUGCAUCAUGCAUCGUGAUUACAAGCAUGUGAGUUGCAUCAUGCAUCGUGAUUACAAGCAUGUGAGUUUCUAGUGAAUUUGAGUAUCAUCUGAGUAUAGAGUCGAGUAAGCUGUUGAACUUGUCAACUUGCAUAGAGUCGAGUAAGCUUUCGUAGAUCUAUCAACUUGACUAUCAAGAGAACUGCAAAUAAAAGAGUGAAUAGAAAUGGGGAGGACCUCUGUUUAGUAGUACAAUGGCCACAUAUUUAAGUAAAGCAUGAUACAACCUAAAAAUUCAAGAUCCUGCAAGUGAAAAUUCAAUAGCCUAAAGAAUAAAAAAGGAUAUUUGUAGCACCCACAGUCUACCCUGUUAUUAAGGACUUCGGAAGACAUACAUGCAACUAUUGUUCCAGGGUUUUACAAAUUCAGUAUCCUCAGCACAGAGUACAACAUCAAGCAAUCAAAUGCCAAAUACAUCAUUUAUGUCAAGCUUAAACUGACAAUGAAAUAGAUGGGAUUUUGUAUUUUACACCACAAAGUUCGUUAGGACUUUGCUAACUAAAUGCUCUCCAUAGCAUGCUCUUCCAAGCUUCUUGGUUCCACCGGUUCUCCUCACACAGACAUCUAAAGGCUCCACCAGGACAUCGAAAUUGGGCUGUUUGUAAAACAUUACUUAGUGUUCAGAAAAGAACCGGAUUCAACAAAAAGAAAUGCUUAAAGGAGAUUCCAGUCUAGAAAUUUACCUCAUAAAAGUAUGCUACACAGACUCGAUAUCUUGGGCAACUAUUAAUUACGCGAUGCACUGUUGCGUCAUAGAAGCCAUUGGACCAAAUCUGCAGUAGUCCAGACCAAAAAUUGAUUUGCGAUACCAGUACAAAGUCAGAAAUGAACAUCAAGGAGUCUUCUUCCCCAAGUUUAUACCUUAAGCAUGUCGCCUAUGUUGCAAACAAAUGUUCCGGGAACAGGAACAGCAGAGAUCCACUCACCAGAGAGGUUCUUGACCUUCAAAAACUCACCAAGAUCAAAAUGAACCUAAUAGAGGAGCUAUAAAGUUUUGAUAACCGAAAUGCAUAGCAGGUCCACUGAAUAAGGUGUAAUACUGACUGUAAUUUAUUACAUAAUGUGAUCUGACACCAUUCAAGAUUUAAACCUUUUCACUCAUUCUGCAAGGAUAUGAUACCGUUCAAGAUUUCAACCUUUUCACUCAUUCUGCAUGAUCUAACACCAAUAAAAUGAGACAUGAUCAACAACAACAAACUAAGGAGAGGAUCAAUCAAAAUGAGAAACAUGAGAAAUUUACAGAGCACUGGGAACUGAGGCUCAAAACAAGGAUCAGGAGCUGUAUUUAUGACCAUGGUUGCACAGCUGCUCUGAACAUUAACGGAACUACUUAACAAUCAGUAUAGAUAGACCCAAACAGAUUCUGAUGAUCAAAUCUAAAUCCAUUUUCAUCAACAUCAAUCAUCUGUGAAGGUUCUCCUUGUUUUGGUCUAAAGAGGAUAUUCCAAAUUCCACUUAGCCAUUAUUAAAUUGACUGUAAUCUUUGUCUUGGUAGGUGGUUAACAAGACUGCUGGAUUUAGUAAUAAUAAAUGAGCCACUCUUUCCAAAUGGCAACUAACAUGUCAUUUAGUUUACCCAUAAGCCAAACCAAACAACUAACUGUUGCAUUUACUGCCAAAUUUGAUAAAUUAAAAAUGUUGUGAACAACAUUAUGGUGACUUGAGAUGUUACCUAUACGUUCUAAAGAGUGAAGUGUUCCAUAGUGAAAAGCUAAUAUCAAUUUCUAAUAGUCAAAGGGAGAAGAAAAACAAAAGUUAAAAGCAAAGCGACACCAAACAUACACUGCCAUUUGGAAUGACCAACAGCCUGAACCAGAAAACGGACUCAUACAUGUCAUCUCGACAUUCCAAGAACAGACUUCUCUAAGGAAUUAGCAGAACAACUUGAGUUAAUUCAAUAUUUAACUCAGUCUCACUUGUUCUGUAAUUACUCUUUAAUGAUUAAGAACUUAUUUAAAAUUUUAAACAUAAAACAUUAAAAAAAAUUACGAUUGUACCUGAAGAGCAGUGAUGUCAUCAUCCUGAUUCAACAGAGUCAACAAACCUAUAAUGUAGCAUCAUGACCAAUAUAUAAACUCAUUGUCCCUUCAAGUAUAAUAUCCUCUAAAAGACUCAGAAAGUUACCAUAAUCGGUGUGCGCUCCGCUGAAUGUUUCAUGCAAAAGAAGAAAAGAAAGAAAAAACCGCGUGAGAGACUACAAUAAUGAAGAAUUGUAGAGUACAAUCAUUGACAAUGAAUUAACUCGCAAUGAGAGGACAAAUGUAUCACCAUCCAAUGUCAUUUUCAGGAUUUCCAAGGACAUUUGCUUUUGAUGCACCUGGAUAACCGAGUAUACGCAAUACCCAAAAUGGAUCUCCAGCUCUUUGACCUUCAAAUUCACUUGGGGAUCCGCCUAACGCUAAUGCAAUGCCUCUCAUGAUCUUUCUUGAAAGUUCUAGGAACAAUCAGAAUCACGUGUAGAAAGAUGAUGGAUAAGAAAAGUGUUGACAGAGAACCACCAAAAGUAUUGACAGAGAACCACUAAUGAAGAGUCUAUACCAGUGCAAAGGCUAAUGUAUUCCUCCAUAAUUGGCUUUAAAUCUGGAGGAUUAACUGGCCUGCAUUGGGGACAAAAGCAAAAUGCGUUAACACACUCCAAAUAAAUCAGCAACAUGUGACUCAAUCCAAAACAAGCUAUCAUGUACCUGAAUGUUAGCAAUGUUAAGAGAUGUGCAAUGAAUUAAAUGAAAAGGCUGAGCUUAUGGAAGAAAUAAUACUUACAAUUUUCAUCUUAGGACUCCAUCUCAAGUUUAGUUUGCAAAAACGAUGAAUUCCAGACAUAUUUACUACUCAUGUGUGUUUCAUGGAACAAUCAUUAUAUUAACUAGUGUUGGAAUUAAAGAAGAAGGAAGGGCAAAGUGAGAGAUCAACAUGGGACCUAAGUUUAUACAUAAUGCCACUGCCCAACUGCCACUGUCCAUUUGCUCGGUUCAGUUUGAUGACAGUAACAUAAUGAUGGACAUAAGGAAGACAAGCAUGACGAGUACUAAAGUUUCUUAUGAUCAAUACUUGCUGCUGAUGAAGAACAGUUAAAAGGAACGGUGCUCUUGUCAGGGUACAACCCUGAUCGUGCCCCCUGAUCGCUCCCCUACAUGGCCACUAGACCAAAUGUCUAGUGACACGGUUAAAGGGGCUACAAAAUAAGAGGCGUAGACAAUUAUCUUAGGUUAGAGUUCUUGAAUCAACAUACCACUGAUCACAUCCUUCCAGGACCUUGCCAAGAUCUCCGUACAUCCCUUGCCUCACUUCUCUGUAACACUGCUCCAAAUAAUAUCACAUUUUAAGUCAUUGCAGUGGGAGAGAGAUAACAGCACGGGAGACAGAAGCGGAAUACUGUGAUAACAUCUCAGUAUAAUCGUACUAAUAACGUGCAGGCUCCAUAUUCAGUGAUAUGGACCCCCACCUAAAGGACUAUAUAACUGCGCAAUUCAUAGUGGAAGAACAUUGACAUAAUUUGUUCGAGUUUCAUGCAGAGAAAUUCUGUUCGCUUGAAUUAAAGAUUGCCUAAGACUUUCACAGAUUGAACAGUGCUAAUCAAAAUUUCACUUCACUUCAAUGGAGCUUAACAAAUUAUCCAAGAAAAAAGGCAUUCGGAAAACACGGAUGCUUUUAAUGAUUAGAGAACCCUACCAUGCAGGGACAAGUCAUAUGAUACCAGGGAACUGUUACUGUUGGAUUAACAUGAUAUAAUAAUCUUGUACUUAAGACAAAUAUAUCUGAACGACAACCAAAACAUUGGUGAAGCAACCUACGUCAAUGGCCUCGUGCAUGUCAGGUACACCUUUUGUGAUGUUUUCACGAAGUCUCUGGUAUCCCCUGCAAAAAUUGUUAAAGUCACUUCUAAGCUAAUUAGCAAUUCACCUGGAAACCAGUAUAAACUUGUAAUAUUACAAGAUUAUAAUUUUCCUAGGAAUGAAAAAGUGGAAAAAUCCUAGAAAUACGGGUAUAGGGAGUUCUAAUGACCAGAAUCAGAUCAUGAUGCUGGAGAGAGGUUUUGCAUGACCAUUAUUUUUCUGUAUACUGGCCAAUCAUUGGGAAUGACAAUCAUUAAAUUCCUCGAAGCACCCUUUUCGGAAGUUUAUUUUGUUUCACUGACUAAGUAAGCUGUGUGUUCCUCACCACUCACAUGGGGGAGGCAAACAUCUGGGGAGCUUAUUUUCUAAAGCUUAACUAUAGGAUAUGAUAUUCUUUCUGAUUUAUUUGAAUCAGUUUUUUCUUCGUAAUUUGAUCCUUCUGUUCAUGUUCUCCAACAAGCCAAAAAUCAUUAACAGUUCACGGACAUCUUGCUGCAUAGAAAAUUUAAGAUAAGAGAACACAGCUUGUGAUUCUAUUUGAUCCUUCCAUCCCACGUUCUACAAUAAAAUAAAACUUAUCUGUAAUUCAUAUGCAUUUGACUGCAUAUCAAAUUUAAGAGAAGAGAACACAGCUAGUGAUGGAUCUAAAAUUGACAAUCGUCAAAAGGACAUUUCAAGAAUGCUAGAGGAGUCUAACCUGUAUCCUGCCGCUGGAGUCAUCUUGAUCUUCAACUUCUCUUCAUAAGGAAGUUCGAAAAAUUCGUGCGUCAAGGUUCUAACCUUUUUAAUAAGGGAAUCGGGAAUACCAUGGCCCUUCUGGUCAAUGACAAAGUUUACACACUUCCACAUCACUGAAGAAUGAAUAAGGAAGCACACAAUAUUCGUGCGUUUUCCCCGGACUGAACUAAAAACAAGACAGUUUUUAACAGCAACAUGCUUUUUUUUAUGUAAUUUCUGCGAUUCCCAUGCCUAAAACUCCAUUUGAGUUUUAAGUUCCCAAUCCUCACUCUAGAAACUCAAGUAAAGUGACAAAAGAAGCUCCCGCAAUAAUAUUGUACUUAUUAUCAAUGAAAAGGCCUAAUUAAACAACCUUUCGCCCUAAAAAACUCAACAUGUCAAGAAUGGGUCUAUCGGGAGUCGACUUAUCAAAUGGGUGGGUCGGGUCGGGUUGAAAAUGGGUGGACCUAUAUUUGACCCAUUUAACCCAUUUUGACCUAUAUUUAUGUAGUGUAAAUAUAGUGUCUCCUACCCGACCCAUAUUGCCGAACCCUAUUAAUAUUCUAAGAAAACCUACGCCUACUUUAAGUUAUAUGCUAAUUGGAUUAAAACUUCAAAUUAAAAUAAAAAUUAAAUAAUUUAAAAAUAGUUAAAAAUAAAAUAAAAAAAAAUAAAAAGUAAAAAAAACCUAUAAAUUGAAAUAUUUAUAAAGAAUUAGACCAUCCACAUGCUUCUCUUGUCUAAAGUAAACAUAACAUUAAGUAAUUGAAAACUACAACGUGAAAAACCUUUAACUAAAACUGAAAACAUAACAUUAAGUUCAUUUUUAUGAUAUUAUUUUAAAAAAAUGAUAUUGCUAAAACAUUUUUAUACGAUACAAAUUCAUUAGAAAUUUUUUAUGAUUUCUUUAAAAUAUAUAUUUUUUAAAAAUCAAAUUUUUAAUUAUUAUUAUUAUUUUUUUCUUCUUCCUCAACCAGUGACCGGCCACAGGCGAGCUUAAGCUCGCCUAACGUCAGUGAGAUCGAGCCAUGCCAAAUGUCAGGCAAGCUCAGCCUCGCCAAAUCCAACGAGACUCAAGCUCGCUUGACGCUGGUGAGCUCAAGCCUUGUUAGAUUCAUCAAGGCUCGAGCCUUGUUAGACAUUGGCGACCAUGCUCACAUGCCGCCGAGCUCGAGCUUUGCCUGGCCCAUCACCGUGCCGGCCAUAGGCUAAAAAAGGAGGAAGAAGAAAGAAAAAAGAAAUGAAAAGGGAAAUAUAAAAAAAAAACCAAAAUUUCGAUUUUUUAUUUAAAAAAAUAUUUUUAUAAAGUUAAAAAGAGAAAGAUUGUGUGAGGUUUGGAUUAGAAACUUGGAAAUAGGUUCUAACCCACUUGAUAGUUUAAAUGAGUCGAAAAUGGGUCAUAAUCAUACUCAUUUUUUUGACCCAUUUUCAGUGGGGUUUUUAAAAGUCUCUAACCUAUAUAUGACUCAUAUACGACCCAUAUACCACUCAUAUACAACCCAUAUAAAUAAAAUAUUAGUCCAAAAAUGAAUCCAUGACCCAUUUCGACACCACUAAUCAGGAGAUCGACCCACAAUGCAUAAUAAACAUAUUUCUUGAAAAAGACCAGAUGUUACCAACAGAGGCAAAAGAUUCAGUACAGCUUAUACUGGGAACAUUAACAGCUGAAUACGAAAACAAGUUCAACCACGUGUUCACACGUUCAGCAAAACAAGAUAACAAGCACAUAAUCGCCGACCCGGUGUUAUGGAAAGCGACCACAUAAAUUUCUGCCAUCAAAUACAGAAUCCCACUACAAAGCAUUCCGAUUGUUUGACCUAGUAAGCUCGCGUUUGCUUUUUCAGCAACUGGGUCGACGCUAAACUACCCGAAGGAGCGAGCGGGAACAAGGUCACUAACCACGUAGAAAAAACCAGCCUCCCUACAAGCCUGAUCCAACUGCCUGACAACUUCAGCCACGCCCGGGUCUGCACCCAUGUCCGGUUCAUCGCACUUGGCCAUGAGGGGACCCAUAUCUGCAGAACAAGAUUGAAACGCACUGGAUUGAACAUCGGGUCGAUCAGGUUUUGCAUCCGAUCAAUGGAAACUAAGGAGAAAGUACCGAUUAGAGGGAUGGAUUUAAAGUUAGUAGACAUUCUUUUUUCUUUUUCCUGUGAUGUUGAUGCGACGGUCGCUCUCAAUCAAAUCACUCAGAUUUGAGCCUUCACACGAGCGCGGGAAGAAUGAGGGGCCGGGAUGUUUUCCCGGGAAAAAUGGAAAUCGAAAUUAGAGACAUUUGCUCUGCAUGGCCCAGCACUUAAAUACUUAAAUCUCCAUGACCCAUCAAUUAAAUAAUUAAAUUCAAAAACGUCAUUCACUUUAUUGAUACAGAGGAAAGAUUUCAGAACCAACCAUCUUUUAUCUUUUUUUAAAUUGUAGAAAUGGUACAAAAUAGUUAGCCGGCAAUACCAAUAAAAAAGACAAGUCACCAAAGGAAUUUAUCACAAAAUUGUCUCAAAAAGGGUAGUUUGCACAUCUUUGGAAAUCACUAGCAUCCACCGAGUAAAUUAGUUCUGAGAAUUGCCGUUAGAGGGAUGGAUUUAAAGUCGGUACACAUUCUUUCUUCUUUGUCCCGUUGUGCUAAUGCGACGGUCGCUCGAUGAAAGUUCGGUGAGCUCAAUCAAAUGGCUCGGAUUUGAGCCUACAUGUGAGAGCCGGGUAGAAUAAGGGGCCGGGAUGUCCUCGGGGGAAAAGUGGAAAUCGAAAUAAGAGACAUUUGCUCUCCAUGGCCCAACAAUUAAAUAAUUAAAUCUCUAUGGCCUAGGAAUUAAAUAAUUAAAUUCAAAAACGAUUUGCUGAUGCACAGGAAACAACUCAAUUUCAGAACCAACCAUCUUUUAUCUAUUUAUAAAUCAUAGAAAUGGUACAGAAUGGUUAGCCGGCUGUACCGACCUAAAAGACAAGUCACAAAAGUAAUUAUCCCAAAAUUGCCCCAAAAAGGUAGUUUGCACAUCUUUGGAAAUCACUAACAUCCACCGAGUAAAUUAGUUCUAGAAAUUACUGUUAGAGGGAUGGAUUUAAAGUCGGUAGACAUUCUUUCUUCUUUUUACCGUAAUGUUGAUGCGACGGUUGCUCGAUAAAAGUUUAGUGGGUUUAAUCAAAUCGCUCAGAUUCGAGCCUACACGCGAGCGACGGGAAGAAUGAAGGGCCAGGAUGUCCUCAGGGGAAAAAUGGAAAUCAAAAUAAGAGACAUUUGCUCUCCAUGGCCUAGCAAUUAAAUAAUUAAAUUAAAAAAUGGCAUUCACUUUGCUGAUGCACAGGAAACAACUCAAUUUCAUAACCGACCAUCUUUUAUCUAUUUAUAAAUCGUAGAAAUGGUACAAAAUAGUUAGCCGGCAAUACCAGCCUAAAAGAAAAGUCACAAAAGGAAUUUAUCCCAAAAUCCCAAAAUUGUCCCAACAAGGGUAGUUUGCACGUCUUUGGAAAUCACUAGCAUCCACUGAGUAAAUCAAUUCUAAAAAUUACCGUUAGAGUGAUGGAUUUAAAGUCAGUAAACAUUCAUUCUUCUUUUUCCUGUGAUGCUAAUGCGACGGUCCCUCGAUGAAAGCUUGAUGAGCUCAAUCAAAUUGCUCGGAUUCGAGCCUACACAUGAGCACCGAGAAGAAUGAGGGGAUGGGAUGUCCUCAGGGGAAAAAUGGAAAUUGAAAUAAGAGACAUUUGCUCUCUAUGGCCCAGCAAUUAAAUAAUUAAAUUAAAAAAAAAAGGUUAUUCACUUUGUUGAACAACUCAAUUUCAGAACCAACCAUCUUUUAUUUAUUUAUAAAUUGUAGAAAUGGUACAAAAUAGUUAGCCGGCAGUACUAGCCUAAAAAGACAAAUCAUAAAAGGAAUUUAUCCCAAAAUUGUCCCAAAAAGGGUAGUUUGCACAUCUUUGGAAAUCACUAGCAUCUGCCGAGUAAAUCAAUUCUAAAAUUACCGUUAGAGGGAUGGAUUUAAAGUUAGUAGAUAUUCUUUCUUAUUUUUCCCGUGAUGCUAAUACGAUGGUCGCUUGAUGAAAGUUUAGUGAGCUCAAUCAAAUUGCUUGGAUUCAUGCCUACAUGCGAGUGCUGGGAAGAAUAAGGGGCCGGGAUGUCCUUGGGGUAAAAAUGAAAAUCGAAAUAAGAGACAUUUGCACUCCAUGUCCCAAUAAUUAAAUAAUUAAAUUAAAAAACGUCAUUCACUUUGCUGAUGCACAAGAAAUAACUCAAUUUCAGAACCAACCAUCUUUAAUUUUUUUGUAAAUUGUAGAAAUUGUACAAAAUAGUUAGCCGGCAGUACCAACCUAAAAGACAAGUCGCAAAAGGAAUUUAUCCCAAAAUUCCAAAAUUGUUCCAAAAGGGUAAUUUGCACAUCUUUAGAAUCACUAGCAUCCAUAGAGUAAAUCAGUUCUAAAAAUUGAUGUGGAUGAGACCCAAAGGAACCUUUUUUUGUGAAGAACUCAAAACCUGGUUCAGCUUGUACAGCCCUCAACAAUCCGUGUAAUUUGGGCCAAAAACAAGGGCAAAACUAAAACAAAAAUGAAAAUGGACGUUUUGCAACUUUCAUGAGUUUCAAAAAUCAUGGAGAAAUUACACGUUAUAUUUUAAGACGUAAGCUACAACUUUCAUGAAGAACACUCUACUAAAUUUCUUGUCGAAAAUUCCAUGGAAAUAAAAACCUUGUAAAGAUCCGUAAAUUUCCAAGAAAAACUUAUUCAAAUUCAUGUACUUUUCCAAAUACAAUUUGAUCAUACGAAGUUCCAAAAAUCCAAAAUUAAAGUAUGUUAUAGAACAAGGUAUAAGGUGCGACUUUCAUGAGUAGAGCCUCACAAAAUUCGUACCACAUAAAUUGGUAUAAAACUAACAUAAUACCGGGUCUAUAGUGACCUGAACUUGAAAACAACGACGUCCCCAAAUUUUGUCCACGACUCGUGUUAUUCAACCUCAAAUACACAUAAAUCUCAACAACCAGCAUCUCAACAAUACAUUCAUGAACUCAAUAAACCAUAAACUCAACAAUGCUAGUUGCGUAAGUGUUGACACUUAAAUUUUUACAUAAAAAAUGAGUUAAUUUUACCCAAAAAAGAAUAAAAUAAAAUUAUAUAGUAUAUAAUUUUAGGCGCAUUUGAUAUAUUUAAUAAAUCUUUUAUAUAUUCAAACAAUAUAUACCAAGAGGUAUAUUUCAUUAAAAAUUGGAAAGUUUCGAUGGAGUAUUUCACAUGUGAUAUAUAUUUGGCAUUAAUUUUUGGGUAAUAUGCAUUUUCGACGUAAUAAAAUAAACAUUAGAUCUUUCGAUUGUCAAUGAGCGUGAAUAAAUGAUAGAAAAUGAAAUGAAAUCGUGAAGAUUACACCUUAGCCACGCGAGAUGCAAUCGAAAAGAAAAAGGAAAUUUUACUUCUUCCACGUGUGGGCUCAAUUUCGUUGUAAAAAAAAAAAAAAGGGGGAUUUUCUCGUGCGAUGGGGAGAGAAUAAAAAAGUCGUGUGAGAAUUUUAAAAUAAAUGAAAGAAAAGGCGUGAGAGAGUCUGAAGAGAGAAAAAAAAGAGAGGAACCUCACGCCCCUCAUCCCAGAAAGUCAACAGAAAAAGGUUACUUCUCUUCUUCUCUGACAGGCUGCAGAGAAAAGAAGAGGGAGUCAGCAAGUUGCAGAAAAAAGAAAGAAGUGAGCGUCAGAAUACAGAGAAAAAGGAAGAGUAAAAGAAGAUGAGAAAAAAUAAAAAAAGUCAUCUUCUUCCAGGGGAAGCUUCGGCCGUCUGCAUCUCCUCCCCCAUCCACCCCCCCCUUCCUUUGCAUCUCCACAGCCACGAGCGCCGCUCGCUCGCCAGCUACUGCCUCAGCAUCCCGCUCGUCUCCGUCGCGCCCGACGCCUGCUGCCCUUCGCCCGAGCAUUGCCGUUCCGCCAGCCGCCGAGACUCCGCCAUCCGAGUCCCCACUCGCCGUCUCCAACACACCACCGCCACUUUUUUGCUUUCUUCCUUCAUCUUCACCGCAAUCCUCCCUAACACCUCCACCCUUACUGUCACCAUCACCACCGUUCUCACCAUCGCCAAACAAAGGAAGAAAACGAGAGAGUUAAAAAUAAAUGGAAAAAGAAAAGAAAAGUAAAAUACAUAAGUUAGAUAUUUUUUAUACGUUAGCAUUGUUUGCUUUUUAUCUGCAUGUUGGUGGGCACAUAAGAUUUUUAGAAGGCGUUUGCUAAGAGAAUUUUGAUAGAGAGUAAAUAUGUCACAUAGGUACCAAUUUGACAUGAUUUGAGGUUAAAAGUAAAUGUGUCAUACGGAUAUAAUAAAAUUUAGGAUAAAUGUGUCACAAUUAACAUAAUUUAAGAUUUUUUGUUGCAUUUUCCUUACUUUCUAAGAUAAAUUAGAGCCCAAGUGUGAGAACCCACAUUGACUUAUAGGAGUUUCCUAUAGUUCAUGGAUUAUUAAAACAUAAUCAGGGCUCUUUGUAAAAAGAAGGACAAAAGAUAAAGUAUUAGAUAAUGAUAGGACCUCUAGCUAUUACAUUGAGAGGGGGGGGGGGGGGGGUGUUAGGACGAUCGAUGACAAGCGGCAACCACCAUCAAGGUGUUUGCUCAUGAAACCCCUGGUUAGAGGUGAGCAUGAUUCGAGUGAGCGGUUCCCAUCUUGGAAUCGAAAAUCACUCAAUAAGGACCAUUUUUGAAAAUUUGGAAUUAGGAACCAUCCGUUGAUUUUAUGGAUCUACUCGAGAACCGGCCAGUCCAAUGCUCUGGUGGGUCCAUGAAAUAGGUCGCAUCAAGCUUCACACACUUAAUGCAACAUUUUAUGGCAAGCCAAAGUAAAAUAAAAAAUAAAGAAUUUCCCUAUUCUUAAUUGCAAGAUCAAUAAAAAGAUUGGACUCAUAUUAAAAGUUGAAAAUCGAGGCCGUGGGUGAUAGAUAGAAAGACAACUCAGAUGAGAUGAGAGUGAGACAAGACAAGCACUCAAUUGAUGGGUGUUGAGCUUCAAAUAUAGGGGUUUUAGGAUUUUCAUUUUUGUUAAAUUUUUAUUUGGUCAGAAAAUUUUCUUAAAAAUUAAAUAUAUAUUUAUUACCAGUCCGGUCUAAGUAGGCGAUUCUACACCUAGAACUGAGAACCAGAUAGUUCCCUACUAGUUCCGGACAGUUUUUGGUUCUUUAAUGUUACCCCUACUUGUGGCAAAAUAAUGACGCUAGUUUUAAAUUCAUGCAAUUUGAUCCCCUAAGUUUUUUUUUUAUUCUGCACUCUAUUACUAUAAAAAUCUCACUAGCAAUCUAAAUUUUUGAAAUGAAGUCUUUCCCUCAAACAAUAUGACCAUCGAAUAGCCGAUGGGCAUCGCUACUCAACCAAAAAGUGUACAAAUAGUGCUAGUGCCACAUCUGCAAACACGAGGGGAAAAGAAAAAGGAAAAUCCUAGAAGAUAAAAAGAGAGGGAAGGGUUACACACUUUGUCAGUAAGUAGCUUCUACCAACCCUCGUCAAGCACAACUAAGGUUGGCGAAUUAUGUGCUAUCUACAGAGAGUUAUAGGUGAAUUUUUUUUUUUUUAAUUUCAUAUCCUGAAUUGAUAUACUUCAAUUUCAAGUGACAACUGUUAGGACGAUCGUGAGGGCGACCAAUGACAAGCGGCAACCACCAUCAAGGUGUUUGCUCAUGAAACCCAUGGUUAGAGGUGAGCAUGAUCCGAGUGAGCGGUUCCCAUCUUGGAAUCGAAAAUCACUCAAUAAGGACCAUUUUUGAAAAUUUGGAAUUAGGAACUAGGAACCAUCCGUUGAUUUUAUGGAUCUACUCGAGAACCGGCCAGUCCAAUGCUUUGGUGGGUCCAUGAAAUAGGUCGCAUCAAGUUUCACACACUUAAUGUAACAUUUUAUGGCAAGCCAAAGUAAAAUAAAAAAUAAAGAAUUCCCCUAUUCUUAAUUGCAAGAUCAAUAAAAAAGAUUGGACUCAUAUUAAAAGUUGAAAAUCGAGGCCGUGAGUGAUAGAUAGAAAGACAACUCAGAUGAGAUGAGAGUGAGACAAGACAAGCACUCAAUUGAUGGGUGUUGAGCUUCAAAUAUAGGGGUUUUAGGAUUUUCAUUUGUGUUAAAAUUUUAUUUGGUCAAAAAAAUUUCUUAAAAAUUAAAUAUAUAUAUUUAUUACCGGUCCGGUCUAAGUAGGCAUUUCCACACCUAGAACUGAGAACCAGAUAGUUGCCUACUGGUUCCGGACAGUUUUUGGUUCUUUAAUGUUACCCCUACUUGUGGCAAUAUAGUGACGCUAGUUUUAAAUUCAUGCAAUUUGAUCCCCUAAGUUUUUUUAUUUAUUUAUUCCGCACUCUAUUACUAUAAAAAUCUCACUAGCAAUCUAAAUUUUUGAAAUGAAGUCUUUCCCUCAAACAAUAUGACCAUCGAAUAGCUGAUGGGCAUCGCUACUCAACCAAAAAGUGUACAAAUAGUGCUAGUGCCACAUCUGCAAACACAAGGGGAAAAGAAAAAGGAAAAUCCUAGAAGAUAAAAAGAGGGGGAAGGGUUACACACUUUGUCGGUAAGUAGCCUCUACUAACCCUCGUCAAGCACAACUAAGGUCGGCAAACUCUGUGCUAUCUACAGAGAGUUAUAGGUGAUUUUUUUUUUUUUUUAAUUUCAUAUCCUGAAUUGAUAUACUUCAAUUUCAAGUGACAACUGUUAGGAUGAUCGUGAGGGCGACCAAUGACAAGCGGCAACCACCAUCAAGGUGUUUGCUCAUGAAACCCAUGGUUAGAGGUGAGCAUGAUCCAAGUGAGCGGUUCCCAUCUUGGAAUCGAAAAUCACUCAAUAAGGACCAUUUUUGAAAAUUUGGAAUUAGGAACCAUCCGUUGAUUUUAUGGAUCUACUCGAGAACCGGCCAGUCCAAUGCUCUGGUGGGUCCAUGAAGUAGGUCGCAUCAAGCUUCACACACUUAAUGCAACAUUUUAUGGCAAGCCAAAGUAAAAUAAAAAAUAAAGAAUUUCCCUAUUCUUAAUUGCAAGAUCAAUAAAAAAGAUUGAACUCAUAUUAAAAGUUGAAAAUCGAGGCCGUGAGUGAUAGAUAGAAAGACAACUCAGAUGAGAUGAGAGUGAGACAAGACAAGCACUCAAUUGAUGGGUGUUGAGCUUCAAAUAUAGGGAUAUUAGGAUUUUCAUUUUUGUUAAAUUUUUAUUUGGUCAAAAAAAUUUCUUAAAAAUUAAAUAUAUAUUUAUUACGGGUCCGAUCUAAGUAGGCGGUUCCACACCUAGAACUGAGAACCAGAUAGUUGCCUACUGGUUCCGGACAGUUUUUGGUUCUUUAAUGUUACCCCUACUUGUGGCAAUAUAGUGACGCUAGUUUUAAAUUCAUGCAAUUUGAUCCCCUAAGUUUUUAUUUUUUAUUUUUUAUUAUGCACUCUAUUACUAUAAAAAUCUCACUAGCAAUCUAAAUUUUUGAAAUGAAGUCUUUCCCUCAAACAAUAUGACCAUCGAAUAGCUGAUGGGCAUCGCUACUCAACCAAAAAAGUGUACAAAUAGUGCUAGUGCCACAUCUGCAAACACAAGGGGAAAAGAAAAAGGAAAAUCCUAGAAGAUAAAAAGAGGGGGAAGGGUUACACACUUUGUCGGUAGGUAGCCUCUACCAACCCUCAUCAAGCACAGCUAAGGUCGGCGAACUCUGUGCUAUCUAUAGAGAGUUAUAGUUGAUUUUUUUUUUUUUUAAUUUCAUAUCCUGAAGUGAUGUACUUCAAUUUCCACUUUGAUGGAAUUACUCUUUCCUUUUGUAACUAAUGAAUAUCUCAUCAUUCGUAUUAUUAGAGAUAAUUAUAAUAUUUAAUUAUGGUAGAGAUAAACGGGAUAUUUCUCUUAAUUCUCCAUAUCUCUUAGAAUUACACAUAUAUUGCUCUUGAUUGUGCAUGUCUGUGAGUGACUAUAAAUGAUAUCAUCAUUAUCUUGUUUCUUUAAAUAAUCAUCUAAUAAAGUUUAGGCUCAUGCACUCUUAAUUAUAAUGCAUUGGAAUAUAAUGAAAUUACACAAUUUUUUUUCUUCAUUAUUCUUAUCUUGGCAUAUGCACUUGAUGCACACUUGAGUGCACACCUAGAACACACUUCUUAUCUCACGUCUUUCUCUUUUUCAAUAACUAUUAACAUCUCUCUCAAAAUUGUCCAUAUAGUCAUUAGCGACCUCAGAUCACUCAGUUGUCCCGAAGUUCACACAGUAGCCACAGUAGUCUCUUGUGCAUAUAGCCUCUUGCCACGAUGGCAACCUCUUGUUGCAUAGUCUACACAAUAACCAUGCCAACAUCAGCUGAUUCUCUCUUCAGCACACCAAACCGAUUCAAUGUUCCCAUCUAGGAUUUUUUCUUUCUAGAUCUUUUUCCCAAACUCCAGUUGAUUUCUAAGUUACCUUGAGUUUGGGCGAUGUUAGAAUUAAUUAUGAUUUCCCCUUGAUUCUCCACACCUCUCAAGAUUGCACAUACAUCUCCAUUGAUUGUGUAUAUCCCUAAUUAAUUAUAAUUGAUAUUACGAUUAUUUUUUUAUUUUGGAUCUUUUUUUUUCUUUAUUUCUUUUCUUCCUUUGGCUGGUACUUGGCCAUGGCCAACAACCUACCACGAGCAAACGGAAAAGAAAAGGAAAAAAUUCAUAAUUUUUAAAAAAUUAUCUACGUCAGCAACUAUCAUGCAAUAUAGGCCGGUUGGCGUCCGUAUCAUCGGUUUUUUGCCGAAAUUGGUUGGAAUAACUACAUUGGUAAAUCAUUAAAAGGUUUUUGACUAAAUUAAUAAAUCCUUAAAAUGUUUAAGACUAAAUUAACACAAUUGAGAUGUUUAGGACUAAAUUAGUAAAUUGUCAAAAAGUUUAGGAAUAAAUUUUUAUAAUUGAAAGGUUUAAGAUUGAGUUGACUGUGAUAUUAUAUGUUUAGGAAUUUUUGGACAAUCUAUAUAAUAUGGAAAUGUUUUUUUCUUUCGGAUGCUACCAAGAAGGAAAGUUUGACUUAAACUUUGGAGGGGAUGCUUUUUAUGUUGUUUUGGAUUGGUACAGAUGCGAAUAAAUUUGCUUGGUACGUAAUCCAAGGCAGAGCAUCUUUGUGUUAUUACUAUAAAUAAGAAAUAAUAAGGAUACUAGAAAUUUACGUGGUUUGAUUUGACUAUCGGUACCUACGUCCACGGGGAGAGUAAGCAGCAAAUAAUCCGCUAUAAUCAGAGAAUUAGAGUUUACAAUCACUCACACACUCGAGUGUUUCCCACACCUAGAUUUAACUAUAAACCCAAAGUAUUUAUAAAUAAACAACUCACUUAGAGAUAAACUCACGGCACAAAAUUACCGUGCGUUCAAGCUCAAAGCAAAACGCUCUACGUACGCCAAAAUCAAGAACUCCACCGUUCGCCUAUGGUCCACGUACGUAAAUCUUCACGUUUCUUUGGAAAGCUUCGCGUGGCUUCAAGGACAUGCGGCUUCAGAAAACUAGUGAAUCGUGGACAUCUAGAGGAGUUGGUCUACAUACGCCUUUUAUAUUGUGUGUGCCCAAAAGUCAAAGUCUUGACUUUUGGGGCCCACGCAAAUAAUUCGGCUUCUGUAGGCUUCCGCGGAUGAGGAAAUUCGUAUCUAUUCUUAUAUGUGUGCCCACUAGGCCCCUUUCGGCAACCUUCUGUAGAUAAAGAAAACUUUGCUCCCUUUUUUUCCCCUUUAUUCUAUUAUUUCCUCUUUUGUAAAUCUUUAAGAGUCCAGCGAAUUUUCUCAUCCAAUUUGAAAUCUACUUGGGAAAUCUUUAUCAACAAAUUCGGUUUAACAAAUCGUUAUCCGAAUUCAAGCUCGAGACAUUAAUUUAACAAUUCUCCACCUUAGUUUGAUGUUUGAAGCCAAGUUAUAGUGCUCAUCAUCCAUGCUGUUCUCCCAACGCCUCGACGGACGUUCACUCUCCACAGACGCCAAUGGAGCUCAAGCAAAGCUUGAGCUUCACCAAAGGAACAGUCUUAAUCAUCAUGUCUGCCGAGUUAUCUGCUGUAACAAUCUUUUUAAUAAUAACAUUACCCUUAUCUAAGACAUCUCGAAUGAAGUGGUACCUAAUAUUGAUAUGCUUCGUUUGCUCGUGAUAAACUAGAUUAUACGCUAAAUAUAUCACACAUUGGUUAUCACAGUAUAUAUCCACACUUUUCUGUUCUAAGCCAAAGUUCAAGAGCAAACUUUGUAACCAUAUCACCUUAUUCGCUAUAAAGAUUAGUGCUAUGUACUCUACCUUAGUCAAAGACAAGGCAAUGUGAUCAUGUAAGGAUGAUUUCUAACUAACUACACCACCCGCUAAUGUAAACAUGUACCCUGCUAAAGACCUACGAUCAUCCAAGUCACUGUCAUGAUCCGAAUUCAUAAAAUUAGUGGUCUCACUACUAUUGCUUUCCCUCCGAUACACUAUACCCACGUCUGUUGUCCCAUUUACAUAUUUGAGGAUCUACUUCAUAGUUUUCCAACAAACUUUACCAGGACACUUCAUAUAGCGACUAACCACGCUCACAACUUAUGAAAUAUCAGGCUUAGUGCAUACCAUAACAUACAUAAUACUACCCAUGACACUAAAAGAAGGAACAUGGGACAUAUGCUCCUCUUUCUCCUCAGUCUACGAUGAUAAUUUAUCUGAAAUUUUAAAGUGCUUCGCUAAAGGUGUACUUAUAGAUUUUGCCGAUUGCAUAUUAAAACGUACCACGAUAUUCUCAAUAUAUUUUUUCUGAGAUAGACGUAAAACUCCUGCAGCCUUGUCACGCAAAAUCUCCAUACCCAAUAUUUUCUUUGCUGCACUUAAAUCUUUCAUCUCAAAUUCAACAUUUAACCGCCUCUUCAGCACAUCAAUAUUAGAUAUAUUCUUAACUACUAUCAGCAUAUCAUCAACAUAUAAGAGUAGAUAAAUCAAAAAACCAUUAUCCAAUCUCCUAAAGUAGACACAGCUAUCCAUCUAACUUUUUGAAUAGUUUUGAUUAGCCAUAAAAGCAUCAAAACAUUUAUACCACUACCUAAGAGGCUGUUUUAACUCAGAUUUGUUCAACAAGCAAACAUGAUAUUCCUUACUUAGAAUAACAAAUCUCUCUAGUUGCCUCAUGUAAAUCAGCUCCUCCAACUCACCGUGAAGAAACGCAGUUUUUACAUUUAGCUGCUCUAACUCAAGAUCCUGCAAAGUAAUUCAGGCAAGUAAAACAUAAAUAGAAGUAUGUUUUACCACAUGAGAGAACAUCUCAUUGUAGUCAAUACCCUCACGCUGUGUAUAUCCCUUCGCCACAAGUCUCGCCUUAUACCUCGCUGUCUCAACACCAAGAAUGUCCUCUUUCCGUUAAAAAAACCCAUUUAAUUCCAAUAAUCUAUUUAAUUCCAAUAAUCUUUUGGUUUUUAGGUACUUUGACCAGCUCUCAUGUCUAAUUUCGAUGGAGUGAUUCCAUUUCUUCACUCAUAGCCCUUAGCCACUGCGACAACUCCGAACUAGCCAUCGCCUCAGAGUAAGAUGAAGACUCAUCUAUCUCCACCUCAUCACCUACAGUCAAUGUAUAAGCAAUAUAUGUAUAACCAUAACGUACCGGUGAUUUAAUUUGUCUUCUCUGUCUAUCCGUGGCUAUAACACUACAACUUUGCUAGUUGUUCACUAUCACUAACUUUAGAAACUGUAGCUUCAUUUGCAGUCUCAACUUUUGUUACCUUCGAGGUCUCCAGAGUUUCCACCUGAAGUCUCACCUCACUAAUGACACCAUGAUUUGUCUUCUCUGCUGGUUGUAUCAUGGAACUCCUUUGUUGAAGCAUUAUAGUCUCAUCGAAGAUCACAUCUCUACUGAUUAGAAAACCAGGUGAUUUGGGAUCGAUGCACCAUAGCUGGUAGCCUUUCACCCUGUGUGUAUAACCCAGAAGUAUGCACUUCUCGCUCUCGGCUCAAGCUUACCAUCACUUGCAUGAGCAUACGCAAGACAUCCGAAUGUACGUAAUCAGAAGUAAUCAACAGGUUUCCUCAACCAUACUUCAUCAGUAGUCUUCCACUCGAUAGCAGAUGAUGGAGAUCAAUUAACAAGGUAACAUGCCAUGUUCACUGCUUCGGCCCAAAAUUCCUUACCAAGUCCUACAUGCAAAAACAUACAUCGAGCAUGCUCAAGCAAAGUUUUAUUCUUCCGUUCUACCACGCCAUUCUAUUGUAAUGUCUCAGGUAUUAUGCGGUGUCUUAAAAUACAUUCUUUCUCACAAAACUCAGUAAAAUCUUUACUAUAGAACUCCAUGCCAUUAUUGAUUCUUAGACACUUAGUUUGUUUAUCUAACUGCUUCUCAAUCAAUGCCUUAAAUUUCUUGAACCGAUUAAACACAUCAUAUUUUUGCUUCAGAAAGUAUACCUAACCUUCCUCGAAUAGUCGUCGAUAAAAGUCAGCAUAUAUCGAGCACCUCUUUUCAAAGAAACCGAAGACGAGCCCUAGAUGUCUGAAUGAAUAUAUUCAACUUGUCGUUUGGUCGAAUGAAUAGCUAUAGCAAACUUAACUCGGUGCUGCUUCCCAAAGAUAGAGUGCUCACAUAAGUCCAGCUUUCCUAUCUUUUGACCCUUCAACAAUCCCCUUUCACUCAAUAUUGUCAUACUUGCCUCACUCAUGUGCUCUAAACGCAUAUGCCAUAACUGAGUUAAGUUAGAGUCUGAUUUAUCUGAUGAAACUGCAGUGGGUCUAGUCACGGUCUCUCUAGUAGAUAAUAGAGAGUAUUCACUUUUCCCCUUCGUUACUGUCAUGGCACCUCGAGAGACCUUCAGUACUCCACCUUCAGCGGUGUACCUACACUCGAUGUCAUCGAGUGUCCCUAGAGAAAUAAGGUUCUUCUUGAGCUCUAGUACAUGCCUCAUAUCUGUCAAUGUGCACACCACCCCCAUCAUGCAUCCGAAUUCGAAUUGUCCCUAUCCCUACAUCCUUAUAGACUACAUUAUUCCUCAAAAGAACUCUACCACCAUCUACAGUCUAGUAAGUAGUAAACUAGUUCUUAUGAGGCAUCAUAUGAUAAGAACACCUCGAAUCUAGCACUCAUUCGUCUCCUAACAAAGUAGUAGUCACACAUAAAACAACUUCUGCAUCACUAUUGCUCCCCUCGGCAAUGUUUGCCACACUACUUGUAGCAUUCGACCUAUUAGCUUUAUUCCUCCACUUUGGACAAUCUCUCCUGAUAUGCCCCUCCUCGUGACACUCAAAGCACUUCACGUGUUCCUUGGACUUUCUAUGACGUGAUUUCAAUUUGCUUUUACCUCUGCUACUACUAAGCCCUCGAUGUUGUUCUCUACCUCAAAUCAUCAAUGCUUGUGCUACUCCUUGCCCCAUACCAUCAUCUCGCAACUUUUUCUGCCACUCCUAAGAGAAUAAGGCGGACUUUACCUCUUUUGAGGUAAUUGUAGUACGCCUCUGUAAUAAUGAAUCAGUAAAGUGCUCCCGUGACUCUGUUAAAUAAGCUAACAAUAUCAUGCCCUAUUCUUCAUCAUCAAGUAUCUUAUUAAUGUUUUUCAAAUCCAUCAUGAAUUUAUUAAAUUCAUCUAGGUGGGUUCCGAUAGAUGUACAUUUAGUAUAUUUAAAUUGAAACAUCUUCUUCAACAUGUACAAGCAAGCGAUUGUUCAAACCUUUCUUCACAUAGUGUGCUUGAAGUUUUGCCCAUAAUGCUGCGGCAUCCUUCUCCUCAACAACUCAUAUUAAGACCUCAUUCGACAAAUUUAACAGAAUUGUGUUAUUUAUUCUUUCCAUUAGCUCUACCCUUUCCGAGGCUUUCGUUAUAAUAGGCAAUCCAUUUUCACCAUCCAAUGCCUUGGCUAAACCUUGGGUUGUCAAUAAAGCCCACAUCUUGAUGCUCCAUAACACUCAAUUGCAGAUUUCUUCUCAGACAUAAUUACAAUAACAGAGUUUUCAGAUAAUAAUCAGAUAAGCAAAAGCUCCAAAUCAUAAUCAAGAAAUCUGAUCCCAAGCUCUUAUACCAAUUGUUGGAAUAUAAUACGCGGAAACAAUAGGAUUUUGCAAUUUAUGUUAAUGCGAAAUCAUCAGAUAAAUAUAUGAGAAAUAAUAAGAACACUAGAAAUUUACGUGGUUUGGUCUGAGUAUAGGUAUUUACGUCAACGAGAAGAGCCAGCAUCAAAUAAUCUACUAUAAUUAGAGAAUAAGAGUUUACAAUCAUUCACACGCUCGAGUGUUUCCCACACCUAGAUUUAAUCCCAAACCCAAAGUGUUUAUAAAUAAACAACUUACUUUGACAUAAACUCACGGCACAAAAUCAUCACACUUUCAAGCUCAAAGCAAAACGCUCUACGUAUGCCAAAAUCAAGAACUCCGCUGUUCAUCUUUGGUCCACGUACAUAAAUCUUCACGUUCCUUUGGAAAGCUUCGCGUGGCUUCAAGGACAUGCGGCUUCAGAAAACUAGCAAAUUGUGGACAUCCAAAGGAGUUGGUGUGUACGUACGCCUUUUAUAUUGUGUGUGUCCAAAAGUCAAAGUCUUGACUUUUGGGCCGCACGCAAAUAAUUCGGCUUCUACAGGCUUCCGCGGAUGAGGAAAUUCGUAUAUAUUCUUAUAUGUGUGCCCACUAGGCCCUUUCGGCAAGCUUCUGCAUAUAAAGAAAACUUUGCUCCUUUUUUUUUUUUUUUCUUUAUUCUAUUAUUUCCUCUAUUGUAAAUCUUCAAGAAUCCAACAAAUUUCCUCGUUCAAAUUUAAAAUCUACUUGGGCAAUCUUUAUCAACAAAUUUGGUUUAACAAAUCGUUAUCCGAAUUCAAAGUCGAGACAUUAAUUUAACAUUCUCAAUUAUUGUUCUAGGCACCACCAGGCUCACUUUCUUGGAUCUUAGGUUCAACAACCUGAUUUGGACCGAUACCACCGCAAGUAUUACCUCUGGGCCUUGAAGUUCUCUUUCUCAACAACAACAAGUUCAAUGGGACAAUCCCGGAAAAUCUCGGUAAAACACCCGUAAGUUAUCUCACCCUAGCCAACAAGUUCACAUGCCCAAUCCCUCGAAGCAUAGGGCAAACUUCAGAGUCGUUGCUAGAGGUGCUGUUCCUGAAUAACCAAUUAUCGGGUUGCCUUCCGUAUGAGAUAGGACUUCUGAAGAAAACCACUACUUUCGACGCCAGUAUCAAUCAGUUGACUGGUCCCAUACCACAUUCCUUCGGCUGUCUGCAGCAGAUGAAUCAGCUAAACUUGUCGUAUAGCCAUUUAUACGGACCAGUUCCUGAGACGGUGUGCAUGCUGCCGAAGUUGAGUGCACUAACACUGAACAACAAUUACUUCACACAGGUUGGGCCGGAAUGCCGGAAGUUGAUCUUGAAGAAAAAGCUCAACGUAAGGAUGAACUGCAUUUUAGGUCUUCCAUCACAGAGAUCUCCGGCAGAAUGUGAUGCCUUCUUCUCCAAGAAGGUAAAGUGCCCAAACGAGAGAUCAAUGAGAUAUCUCCCCUGCAAGAUUAGUCAGUUAAAUGCCGAGGAUACCUCCAAAGGGUUAGUGACACCUGAGAUCGCCCCAGCACCAUCACCUUCUUAUGCGGCACUCAAUAGGAACCGAUAGCAAGUAAAGUUAUUAGACAGGGCUAAAGCAAUUGUCAUGUGGCUUCUGCCAGAAAAAUAAUGGGGCACAGCAGCUUUCUGUACUUAGUUUUUUUAAUGUUUGCAUCAUGCAUUGUAACUGCAAGCAUGUAAGUUUCUCGUGAA